GACGCUGGCGGCGUGCCUAACACAUGCAAGUCGAACGGUCUACUCGUGGUUCGAUAUUCGUGGUUCGUGGUUCGAUUAUAGAUAGACUUCGGAGCUAAAAAGAAUAUGUUAAUAGGGCUUUGAAGACUACUCAAUUCGAACAACGAAUAUCGAAUAUCGAACUACGUGUUGGAUAGUGGCGGACGGGUGAGUAACGCGUGGGUAACCUACCCAUAAAGCCGGGACAACCCUUGGAAACGAGGGCUAAUACCGGAUAAUCUUAAGGCUUGGCAUCAAGCUUUAAGGAAAGGUGGCCUCUGAACAUGCUACCGAUUAUGGAUGGACCCGCGUCUGAUUAGCUAGUUGGUGGGGUAAAGGCCUACCAAGGCGACGAUCAGUAGCCGGCCUGAGAGGGG
rnacentral:ncRNA from 1 species